rnacentral:ncRNA from 1 species
UAUAGUAAUCUAGUUUAGGGAAUUAAGACUAUAUUUUCUUUAAAAGGUAUUUUGAACAAGAAAUUUGCAAAGGACUAAAUUGUCAUUCAAAGGACCAAAAUGAUAUUGUUUACUUUUACAUUAGAGUAGGUACUGGAGAGAGUUGACUUCUAAAGAAGAGACAUAGCUGAUUAUUUCAAAGGACUUAGAUAUUUGGAAAUUUGGAGUAUUCUGUCUGCUAACACAAUCAUUUGGUCUGAAAUACUGGCUUUUAGACUCUACAGUUCUGUGUACAAAUUGUAACCUCUUUCAAUUGUCAGUUAUGAAAUACUGAAAGCUAAUUUAUACACUUUAAAGGCCUGUGGCAGGUCAUGACGUGAUUUUGCCUUAGCGUUCUGAAUGUCAAAGUGAAGAAAUUCAGUGAAGCCCAUAUAAAUCGAUGGGUGUAACUAUGACUCUCUUAAGGUAGCCAAGUGCUCUGUCAUCUAAUUAGAGAUGUGCAUGAACGGAUGAAUGACAUUUUCUACUGUCUUUACCUAUUAUUUGAUAAAACCACAGCCAAGGGAAUGGCUUGG